rnacentral:rRNA from 1 species
ACCGAAUAGAUACCCGGGUAGUCCUAGCCCUAAACGAUGAUCGCUUGGUGUGGCGGGUAUCCAAUCCCGCCGUGCCGCAGCUAAACGCGUUAAGCGAUCCGCCUGGGGAGUACGGUCGCAAGGCUGAAACUCAAAGGAGUUGACGGGGGCCCGCACAAGCGGUGGAGCAUGUGGUUUAAUUCGACGCAACGCGAAGAACCUUACCUGGGCUCGAAAUGGUGUGGACCGGGGUAGAAAUAUCCCUUCCCAGCAAUGGGUCGCACUAUAGGUGCUGCAUGGCUGUCGUCAGCUCGUGUCGUGAGAUGUUGGGUUAAGUCCCGCAACGAGCGCAACCCUUAUCUCCAGUUGCCAUCAUUUAGUUGGGCACUCUGGCGAAACCGCCUCGGAUAACGGGGAGGAAGGUGGGGAUGACGUCAAGUCCUCAUGGCCUUUAUGUCCAGGGCUACACACGUGCUACAAUGGCCGGUACAAACCGCUGCAAACCCGCGAGGGGUAGCUAAUCGGAAAAACGCCGGCCUCAGUUCGGAUCGCAGUCUGCAACCC